CCUCGCUCCCGCGACUCCGCUGCGGGUCUGCACACCCGAGGACUCGGGGUACUUAACCGAAACUAGCAAUCCCAGGCGGUACAAGGCCCUCCAUCGUAGGCAAAGCACUACCUGAAUGUAGAUUUGGGCCAUACGUUGGAAAAUAAGACAUGAGAGUAUGCUCCGAUCAACUUUUACUGUUCACUGGACAACUAUUUUGGGAAUUUGCAGACCUAUAAAGCCCAUCUAUAAAUCUCAAGCAUGUCCACUUUCAGAGAAGAGAAAUGCUGACAACCAUUUAGUCUCUGAGGACAACACUUUUAAAGGACUCCAUCAUAGGACUGGAGAGAGAUUGGAUGUCAGAGUGAUUGAUGUGCUCCUACUGGAAGAAGGCAAACAUCCAUAUGUGAACUGCCUGUGGGGUUUCCAAGGAAAGGAACGGCAGGCAGCCUCUAUGAGCUUAAAGAAGAUAACUGGGACUUUAGUCCUAUAACCUCAAGGAACAGUAUUCUGUGAACCAUCUGAGAAGCUUGGAAGAGGACCCCAAACUCCAAAUAAGAAGCUCAGUGUGUCUGACACCUUGACUGCAGGCUUGGGAGGUCCUGAGCAGAAGAUCCAGUUCAACAGUGCCUGGACUCCUGAUCCACAAAAACUGAUAACAAAUAUUUAUUGUUUUAAGAUGCUAAGUUUGUAGUCAUUUUUUAUACAGCAACAGAAAACUAAACACACACAUAAACAGUUAUAAGUGCUCACUGUAUAUGAGGCUUUUCAUUAAUAAUCUAUAUUUUAUAAUAGAAUUAGAAUAUAGAUCUGUGAAGCUGAAGACACUCAAUCCUUGCUAGAUUUAAAUCAGGAAAAUCAGCUGAGAAUCAUUCCUUGAUAGAACCUGGAAAACAAGACCCUAUGAGAGACCCUGGGAAUUACAUUAAAUUCACUGUGGUUCCCAGUGUCACUGAAGAGGUUUUCCUUUCAUAGUCAGGUAGUCACCAUACUGUUAAGCAUUUGAACACAUGGGCAACUUCCAGAAUAGUUAUGACAUUGAUAUACCAAUCUCCAAAAUUCCUAGAAUACCAUGUUUUCAUGGUUGACCUUCAAAUCAGUCAGUUCUUUGUAACAUUGAGCCAUAAAGAUAGGGCAAAUACUUAAUGUUUUACAUAUAUUCAGAGAUUGACCCUCAAAAUACAGCCCAGAGAAACUCAAAAGAAUUAACUCUAUUUCUUCAAAUUGUGUGACGCCACCAAGGCCAGAUGACUUCAGCAUUGGGAAGGCAAUAUCCAGCUGUCAUCUUCUUGAUCCUCAUAUGCUACUACUAGCAUCUAGCAUUUACUGAGCAGAUAGUUUUAUUGUCCAGUUUUUAAAGAUAAGAAAAUUGAGGUAUUAGGAAAGUUAAGUUGGUUGCCUAGGGAAACACGAAGAUAUAGC
rnacentral:lncRNA from 1 species